GGGGCUAUAACUCAGAUGGUAGAGUACUUGUAUGGCAUACAAGUGGUCAGCGGUUCGAUUCCGCUUAGCUCCA
rnacentral:tRNA from 1 species